rnacentral:rRNA from 1 species
AUUGAACGCUGGCGGCAGGCCUAAUACAUGCAAGUCGAGCGAGCGGCGGACGGGUGAGUAAUGUAUGGGGACUGCACGAUAGAGGGGGAUAACUACUGGAAACGGUGGCUAAUACCGCAUACUAUCGUUUAACCCAUAUGGGAUGAGCUAGUAGGUGGGGUAAAGGCUCACCUAGGCGACGAUCUCUAGCUGGUCUGAGAGGAUGAUCAGCCACACUGGGACUGAGACACGGCCCAGACUCCUACGGAGGCAGCAGUGGGGAAUAUUGCACAAUGGGCGAAAGCCUGAUGCAGAAAGGCCGCGUGUAUGAAGAAGGCUUUAGGGUUGUAAAGUACUUUCAGCGGGGAGGCGUUACCCAAAGAGAAAGCACCGGCUAACUCCGUGCCAGCAGCCGCGGUAAUAC